rnacentral:rRNA from 1 species
UACGUAGGGGGCUAGCGUUGUCCGGAAUCAUUGGGCGUAAAGAGCGUGUAGGCGGUCCGGUAAGUCCGCUGUGAAAGUCGGGGGCUCAACCCUCGAAUGCCGGUGGAUACUGUCGGGCUAGAGUGCGGAAGAGGCGAGUGGAAUUCCUGGUGUAGCGGUGAAAUGCGUAGAGAUCGGGAGGAAGGCCGGUGGCGAAGGCGGCGCUCUGGGCCGGUACUGACACUGAGGAGCGAAAGCGUGGGUAGCAAACAGG